GUUCUCUACUCUGUUUUUGGAAGUUUAAUUGGUGAUUCUGUUUUAGUUACUUGAAAUAUUGAUGAUAUUGUGGUCUAUUGAAUGCUUAUUAGGGUAUUUUAAUAUUUAUACUAUAGGUAUAAAAAUACCCAAAUGAAAUUAAGGCCUAUUGCUAUUUGUUGAUGAUUUUGUAAGAAUAUGUACUGAAGCUGUCUCUGUGACAGAUUUGAUGUUUACAACAAGAAAAAUAUGUAUUAAAUCAUAUUCUGUGAAUUUGGAUGCUAGGAGUAUUUUUUAUGAAUUCUAAGACACAUAUGGUUGUUAUAGAAGUGGUCUCACAGCAUUUGGAUGAACAUAAAAUUAAUGGUUUAAUUUGUAAGUUACAAGAAAUUCUGUCAGGACAGAUUUGAGUAUGCUGUCUUGUGUGAUUUUUAGUAAAUAAUUGGUUUAUUAUUUGACUCCGAAAUUUUUAUGGUAUAUACUGAACAUAUAGGGGAGUAGUUAUGUAAAUUUUCAUGACAAUUGGAUAUGCGUGAACAGCCCAUUUGUAUUUUACAAAUGAGGAAUACGCUGCUGGAAUAAAACAGUGAACAGUAAGGGACAUGCCUAACUUUGAGGAUUUAAUUCCAAGGUGUUACCGGUAUCCAAGUCUAAGCUCCUUCGACUUUAGGCUCUCGGAUUCCUCUGCUUUCAAGUAAGGGAUAAGUUAUAUGGGCAUUUGGUAAGUCAUGAGGUUAUUUUAAAGUAUAUUAUGCAUUAAAAUGUUUUUGAUUAGAGAUAUGGCAUAUAUUCAUUAUUCUGACAAAGAUAUGUUCGUAAGCUUUCGAAAACUUAUGUAUAGGAUUUAAGCAUAUUGAUGCUAUUACUGAUUCCACGAACAUGAGAUUUAAAGAAAAGAAUGGAAAUCCUACUAUUAUGAAAUGUUAUGCAAGAUAAGAAAUCUUAGUAUGAUGUAAAGUAUGAAAUGUUUUUGAGUUAUGUCCUCUGGUAAUCUGAACUCGGCUAGUAAGGGUUAAUUACUAGCUUUCCAUGGAAAAACGUUAUAUGAUUGGCCAUUAAGUGGGACUGGCUCUGCUGUACCCGCCCCUUGUUGGUUACGGCCAACUUGUGGGGGAAGCCAACCUACCCCUAUGGUUGGAAGAUAUGUAUUAUGAUGUAAUCCCGAGAAUACCUUGCAUUGUGGGGAAUGCUGGAUGCCUAGCACCGUGGUGCUAGAAGCCUCCCAAAUAAGUACAGACUUAUCAGAUAUGGGCUAACCAAUAAGUUAUUUAUGAACAGCUAUAUUAUGUUAUUAAUCAUGAGAGAAUUAUUUUGUUUAAAUGCAUUGUGAAAAGUGAAAGCUCUCAUGGCAAGAAGAAGUUUCUAAUGAAAAGAAAAGCUGUUCAUUAAAGAUAAAAGUUUCUGAAGUUCUAUUAUGCUAUAAAGGUAAAGUUUCUGAUGAAAGUACAAGUUAUGUUUAAAAGUUAUCAGAUACUUGUUCUUUAUGAAAUGUUAAGUUUUAUGACUAUGAAAGUUAUAAUAUUUUUUGGAAAGAGGUUUAUAAAGAAAAGUUUUCUUAUUAGUCAAGAUGUUUCUAGCUUAAUACAAAGUUGCCGAUUAUCUGAUUUAAGUUAAAAUAAUUAUCUUGUAAUGAGAAUAUAUGUAUGGCAACUUUAUAGGAAGUGAAAGAAGUUUAAUCCGAAAAGUUUUGGUAAUAUUAAACCGAUAAGAAAAAGGAGAACAAUUAUUUUCUAUGAUGAGCGUAUAAGCUAUUAUUAUGAAUCGUAUAAAAUACUAUGCAUGAAAAGAUGUUCUCCUGUUCGAAUAUUCAUAGAAUGAAAUGAUUUGGUUACAUGCAUCCUUGUUGAAUUCUCAUAUAUUUUACCUUUACUGAGCUGUGUAGCUCACCCCUUCCACUCUUUCAGUUAGCAGGUUUAUUUUGGACCAGAGGGAGCCUUAGUCGAGUUUUGGAAGGAGCUGGUUUAGUUUUAUAUGUAUAGACCCUAAAUUAGCAAUAUGAUGUUUAGAUUUGUAGCAUUGUUUAUUUUAGGACCUAAUGAAAGUGUGUACCUUAAAGUAUUAAGAGAUGUAUUGUGUGAAAUUCCGAAUUUGAACAAUUGGUGAAUUAUGUUAUUCUUUAGAGUACAAUGUAGAUGCUCUGAAUGUCAAGUGAAAGGUUAUAUCAA